GGUUACGUGGUGUAGUGGUUAUAAUAUUUGUUUUACACGCAGACGGCCGUGAGUUCGAUCCUCGCCGGAACCU
rfam:Octopus bimaculoides Scaffold40100_contig_8, whole genome shotgun sequence.